rnacentral:rRNA from 1 species
UACGGAGGGGGCAAGCGUUAUUCGGAAUCAUUGGGCGUAAAGGGCGCGUAGGCGGCCUGGCAAGUCAAAGGUGAGAUCCCUCGGCCCAACCGAGGAACUGCCUUUGAAACUGCAAGGCUUGAGGCCGGGAGAGGGUAGCGGAAUUCCCAGUGUAGCGGUGAAAUGCGUAGAUAUUGGGAGGAACACCAGUGGCGAAGGCGGCUACCUGGACCGGUUCUGACGCUGAGGCGCGAAAGCGUGGGGAGCAAACAGG